GGGAGCGGUUAUUUCCGCCGGAGGUGGAAAAAAAAGAACCAAUUGCCUUGAGUCACUCGACAAAUCUCGCGUGGCCGCAGUGCGACUGCAGAAUCUCUUUUCUAGAAUCUUAUCGCACGGAAGAUUUGGAGGAGCCAUAAAGAAAGUGUUCAACAUUACUUGGUCGGUAACGUUGCGCGGUUUUAUUGCGACUUGAUAAGAUCUCUUCAGAUUUCAUAAAAAUAAACUCCUUUAAAUGGGCAUUUAAUGGAUUCCCUUAUCGUGAGAUUGCUAAAGAGAUCAAGAUUCCUGCACAUGUGCUUGGCGAAUGAAAAUUGCUGAAGCGCCCAGAACUCGUAACUUACCCAGCACGAGAUCCGAUUCGAAAUGAUAGUUUUACUGGGAAUCAAAUUUAAAUUGUGUUGACUCAAAUACU
rnacentral:lncRNA from 1 species